UACGUAGGGGGCAAGCGUUGUCCGGAAUCAUUGGGCGUAAAGAGCGUGUAGGCGGCCCGGUAAGUCCGCUGUGAAAGCCGGGGGCUCAACCCUCGAAUGCCGGUGGAUACUGUCGGGCUAGAGUGCGGAAGAGGCGAGUGGAAUUCCUGGUGUAGCGGUGAAAUGCGCAGAUAUCAGGAGGAACACCAAUUGCGAAGGCAGCUCGCUGGGACGUAACUGACGCUGAGACGCGAAAGCGUGGGGAGCAAACAGG
rnacentral:rRNA from 1 species